rnacentral:rRNA from 2 species
AAACUUUCAACAACGGAUCUCUUGGUUCUGGCAUCGAUGAAGAACGCAGCGAAAUGCGAUAAGUAAUGUGAAUUGCAGAAUUCAGUGAAUCAUCGAAUCUUUGAACGCACAUUGCGCCUAUUAGUAUUCUAGUAGGCAUGCCUGUUCGAGCGUCAUUU